rnacentral:lncRNA from 1 species
CGUACUUUCAUCCCCAUGUAGACGAUGAUAUCAUCACAUGGCAGCUCAAGAUUAUCCGAUCGAACCGCACGAGUCUAGUCAGUUUCGCAGGGGCAGAAAGGCCUGAUGCACCACAAAACAUAAGGUCAAUACUGAUCAAUCAAUGUAAUAAUUCAGGAACCAAUUGUAGGUUCCUGAAUUGUAGUUCAGGUGGAUGUGAUCAACCCGAAUCAGUCGUUGAGCUCUUCAUGGAUUCCGAAUUCUGUUUACAACCUCCCGGUGAUAGCCCGACGAGAAAAUCCGUAUUCGAUUCCCUUGUUUCGGGUUGUAU